rnacentral:rRNA from 1 species
UGGCGGAUCUUUCGGACAAUGGGCGGAAAGUCCUGAUCCAGCCAUGCCCGCGUGUGUGAUGAAGGCCUUCGGGUUGUAAAGCACUUUUGUUAGAGAAGAAAGGGUGUCCCCUAAUACGGUAUACUGCUGACGGUAUCUGCAGAAUAAGCACCGGCUAACUACGUGCCAGCAGCCGCGGUAAUACGUAGGGUGCAAGCGUUAAUCGGAAUUACUGGGCGUAAAGCGUGUGUAGGCGGUUCGGAAAGAAAGAUGUGAAAUCCCCGGGCUCAACCUUGGAACUGCAUUUUUAACUGGCGAGCUAGAGUAUGUCAGAGGGGGGUGGAAUUCCACGUGUAGCAGUGAAAUGCGUAGAUAUGUGGAGGAAUACCGAUGGCGAAGGCAACUCCCUGGGAUAAUACUGACGCUCAGACACGAAAGCGUGGGGAGCAAACAGGAUUAGAUACCCCAGUAGU